rnacentral:rRNA from 1 species
UACGUAGGGAGCGAGCGUUGUCCGAAGUUACUGGGCGUAAAGCGCGCGUAGGCGGGGAAUUAAGUGAGAGGUGAAAGGCUGGGGCUCAACCCCAUGCAGUGCCUCUCAUACUGGUUUUCUUGAGGGCGGUAGAGGGAAGUGGAAUGGCUGGUGUAGCGGUGAAAUGCGUAGAUAUCAGUCGGAACACCGGUGGCGAAGGCGGCUUUCUGGGCCGUUCCUGACGCUGAGGCGCGAAAGCCAGGGGAGCGAACGGG